AAUCAACGCUGGCGGCGUGCCUAACACAUGCAAGUCGAACGCGACUGGGGACUUCGGUUCCCAGUUGAGUGGCGAACGGGUGAGUAACACGUGGGUGAUCUACCUUCGAGUGGGGAGUAACGUACCCGAACGGGAACGGCUAAUAACCGCCAUGACGUUCUUGGGUUUGGUAACAACCUCGGAAACCGAAAACGACCGGGGACCCGGCCAAGGACCGUCGGCGGCUGGAAGGAAGGAGGCCCGCCGUCCGAC
rnacentral:rRNA from 1 species